UACGGAGGGGGCUAGCGUUGUUCGGAUUUACUGGGCGUAAAGCGCGCGCAGGCGGUCUUCCAAGUCAGUGGUGAAAGCCCGGAGCUCAACUCCGGAACUGCCAUUGAAACUGUUAGACUUGAGGAUGAGAGAGGUGAGUGGAAUUCCCAGUGUAGAGGUGAAAUUCGUAGAUAUUGGGAAGAACACCGGUGGCGAAGGCGGCUCACUGGCUCAUUACUGACGCUCAGGCGCGAUAGCGUGGGGAUCAAACAGG
rnacentral:rRNA from 1 species